GAAAUGCCGGGAAGUGUGUGUGUGGGGGGAAGAAUGUGAUAUUAAAAUCUAAGUUAAUUUAGAUCAUGAUGUAAACUGAUCAUGCUUUAGGUAAAUCUUCACACUACAUAUUGGUAUUUAAAUUAUAAAGAUCUAUUAUACUUCUGUCAAUUUAGAGAGCCACAUUGAAAAAAAUGUUUAAAAUGUGAUUGUUUGAGCCCUGGCCAUGCUGCUCAGUUGGUUGGAGCAUCAUCCCAUACA